CGAAAGGCGACAUAUAAAAAAGCACGCAAAGAAGAAAUGUCUGGCAACACCAGCAAAGUUUUGAGACGAUUUUGCGACGACUGCUAGAAAGGGGUGCUCACUGUUUGAUGCUAAAGAUGUCUCAAAAUGUAGACGUCUACAUUUUCAGGCAAAAUUUGGAACGAACUGUGAACACCUCAAAUGUUCGUGUUCUUUCUUCUGCUUGAAAUAGUAGUAGGCCAGUAAUUUUGACGUUUGAUAAUGCACCGUGAAUAGUAAACAAUGGCAGAAGAAGAGCGGUAAAAAGUAAACAAAAGAAACAAUAUUUUGCCUAUGACCAAUUUGAGAUAGUUUUCACUGAUAUCGGAACAUCACUAUAUCUACCGAAGAAAUCGAUUUGUCGGAUUUGUCUGAGCCGGUGAAGUGUGAAGAAUGUGGGAAAAUAAUGAAGAGAAGCUCAUUAAAAAAACAUAAGCAACGUCAUAAACCAAAAACUUUUCUUUGUCAGGCCUGCCCAAACACAUUUAAGGAGUCAUGUGCCCUAAAAAAUCAUGAGCUCUGUCACAAUGAGAAUCGGGAAAGAUUUCCGUGCGACAUCUGUAACCAAAGCUUUUUAACUCCGUAUACAUACAAAAAACACAGGCUAACGCACGAAACCAACCGCAAACCAAUAUAUCAAUGUGCUCAGUGUGAAAAAUCAUUUCUUCAUAAAAAUGGUCUAACAAUCCACGAGCUCCAUCACAAGGGAGCUUCGAUAGAAUGCCAAGUUUGUCAAAAACGUUAUGUGUGGCAAAUAGACCUAGAUGUUCAUUUACGCACUCAUUCUGGACAAUCGCCAUUUGUGUGUCACCUUUGUGGAAAAUCUUUCAUCCACAAACGUAUUUUAAAUAGGCACAUGCAGUACCAUGGAUAUUUCAGUUACAAGUGCGUGAUUUGUGGUUCUAAAAUAAUUGUAGUAUUGGUCUUGUCCCACCCGUGACAAAAAAAAGGUAAAAGUUAUAUUCAAUUACAGAAGUUGCAGUUGUGUUUCAGGUUUGUUACAUAAUGUUAGAAAUUCAUUGCAAAUAUUUACCACAAUUGCAUUGUCGUUUCCACGUAGUUAGAUAAGAAUAAUUCAACAGAGAGGUAGGCCCCACCCGUGACAGCUAUGUGUGGGUCAGUUGUCAGAGGUAGGUUUACAGGGCUGCUAAGCUUAAUUUGUUUGUUUAGGUGGACGCAGGGGAGAAAGGCGGAAGCGCGGACUCGCCCAUUGCCUAUAUGCCAUUGUGGUCAGAUGAUCAAGUUAAGUGAGAUGUUGACCAGUUUUGGUUUUUUCUUUUGUUUAUUUAAUGUUCAUAGUUUUUUUAUAAAAUUCUAGCAUAUUAAAUAACCAGAACCACAUUAAUCCACAUUUUAAACUUCGUACAAAAAUUAGAAAUUUCAACAACAGUUACACCCAAAAAUUCUAAACUUUUUGUUCGUAAUUUUUAGA